AGAAAGUUAAAUCCUUUCCCCAAGAGGCCUCUUCUCAUAAAACCCUAAUCCUGCUUUCCGUCUUUCCCCUUCCCUCUUCUCAGAUCGCCGCGGCCUGCCCGAGGCGCACGGCCAUAGCGAGCUCGCGGCCGCGUGUACUGCACAAUCGCGAGCGACCUUGCGAUCGCGCGAGGUGCGCGGCUGUGGGCGACCGAGAGCGACUUUGCGAUCGCGGGUUCCUCGCGGUCGGGCGAGGCGGCGGCCCUCCAGAUCUACAGUAAAGGGUUUACCUGAGGAAGCUCGAGCCCCCAGGUGAAGAAGACAGAAGACUGGAGAGUUUGCCGUGAGGAAGCUCCGCUCUGGGGUGAAGAGGGAGAAGAAGACAGAAGACUGGAUCUGAGAGGAGAAUGCCGUGGAUUAGGGUUUAUGACUACAAUGGGAAUGGGGUGGAAUUGGAAGUGCCGAAAAUAGAUAACAAGAGCAACCCAGAGAUAGAGAACCCGAUUACUUUGAACGUUCAAUUUUGAGCUCGCCAUUGGUAUUGAGAUAUGAAUUAUGCAAGAUGGCAUUUUGUUUGAAAAUAUUUUAGUAGCUAGAAGGUUGCUGAGUCUUGAGUCUUAUUGAUUGAGACAUGGAAACAUAAAUAUGAGGUUGAGAGGGAAAAUAUAGCUGCUGGGAUCGAAGAUGAACUUUCAAGAUUUCCAGAAGAAAAUAUUUGAUUUCCUUUGCAAAAUAGCAGACAUUCUUUUCUCGGAGCCUUACAAGGAUUUUAUUGAUAAGGCAGAGGAAUAAACUACACUUACCAUUGGUGCCUUGAUUUCCAAUAGUAGUGUCUAUUCCUGUUAUAUUUAGGUUUCUAUUUGGCCAAAAGAAGCCUCAGGAGUUGAAGAGGCACUAAAGUAUAUGUUCCAUCUCGUUCAUCUUUAAGGGUAAAGUUUUCUUAAUUAAUUUAUUAUCAUCUGAGUAGUUCAUUAUUGAUUUAGCCUAUGUAUAUUUUGGUUGAGAAUAUAAGUUAAAUUAAUAUUUUUGUUUAUUUUGAUAAUAUUCAGCAUGACAAGUUGAAACAUGCUUUUUUAUAAGUUAAGUUUUGUGCGGGCUUAUAAGAACCUUGAGUCGGUCUUUUAUUAAUUUAAUAUAAUAUAUUUUAGUUGAGAAUAU